ACGGAAGGCAGCAGUGGGGAAUAUUGCACAAUGGGGGAAACCCUGAUGCAGCGACGCCGCGUGAGUGAAGAAGUAUUUCGGUAUGUAAAGCUCUAUCAGCAGGGAAGAUAAUGACGGUACCUGACUAAGAAGCACCGGCUAAAUACGUGCCAGCAGCCGCGGUAAUACGUAUGGUGCAAGCGUUAUCCGGAUUUACUGGGUGUAAAGGGUGCGUAGGUGGCAUGGUAAGUCAGAUGUGAAAUACCGGGGCUCAACCCCGGGGCUGCAUUUGAAACUGCCAGGCUGGAGUACAGGAGAGGCAAGCGGAAUUCGUAGUGUAGCGGUGAAAUGCGUAGAUAUUAGGAGGAACACCAGUGGCGAAGGCGGCUUGCUGGACCGUUACUGACACUGAGGCACGAAAGCGUGGGGUGCAAACAGGAUUAGAUACCCUGGUA
rnacentral:rRNA from 1 species